GUCGGAUACGGUGAUAUGACCCCGCAUACGGCGUUGGGGAGGCUGGUGGGAAGUUUAUGUGCGGUAAUGGGCGUGCUAACGAUUGCUUUGCCAGUGCCGGUCAUUGUCAGCAAC
rfam:Ascaris lumbricoides genome assembly, scaffold: ALTE_scaffold0001259